GACGAACGCUGGCGGCGUGCCUAAUACAUGCAAGUUGAGCGCUGAAGGCUGGUACUUGUACGAACUUGAUGAGCAGCGCACGGGUGAGUAACGCGUGGGGCAUCUGCCUUUCAGCGGGGGACCACAUUUGGAAACGAAUGCUAAUACCGCAUAAGAACUUUAAACACAAGGUUUAAGUUUGAAUGAUGCAGUUGCAUCACUCAAUCAUGAUCUCGCGUUGUAUUAGUAGGUUGGUGAGGUACAGGCUCACCAAGGCGGGGAUACAUAGCCGACCUGAGAGGGUGGUUGGCCACAUUGGGAGUGUGACACGGCACAAACGCCCAGGGGAGGCAGCCGUAGGGAAUCUUUGGCCAUGGACGAAAGUCUGACCGAGCAACGCCGCGGCAGUGAAGAAGGUUGUCGGAUCGUAAAACUCUGUUGGUAGGGAAGAACGUUGGUGAGCGUGUAAAGCUCAGCAAGUGACGGUAACUACCCAAAAAGCGACGGCUAACUACGUG
rnacentral:rRNA from 1 species